UACGUAGGCAGCGAGCGUUGUUCGGAAUUACUGGGCGUAAAGAGUGUGUAGGCGGUGCUCCAAGUCUGUUGUGAAAUCUCCCGGCUUAACUGGGAGGGUGCAGCGGAAACUGGAAUGCUUGAGGGUGGGAGAGGAAAGCGGAAUUCCUGGUGUAGCGGUGAAAUGCGUAGAUAUCAGGAGGAACACCUGCGGUGUAGACAGCUUUCUGGACCACUUCUGACGCUGAGACACGAAAGCGUGGGUAGCAAACAGG
rnacentral:rRNA from 1 species